rnacentral:rRNA from 1 species
GAUGAACGCUAGCGACAGGCCUAACACAUGCAAGUCGAGGGGCAGCACGAGUAGCAAUACUUGGUGGCGACCGGCGCAAGGGUGCGUAACGCGUGAGCAACAUGCCCGUAUCAGGGGGAUAAUCCAGGGAAACUUGGUCUAAUACCCCAUAGUAAUCAUAUCAGGCAUCUGGUAUGAUUUAAAGCUUAGGUGGAUACGGAUUGGCUCGCGUGACAUUAGCUAGAUGGUAAGGUAACGGCUUACCAUGGCUAUGAUGUCUAGGGGUUCUGAGAGGAAGGUCCCCCACACUGGAACUGAGACACGGUCCAGACUCCUACGGGAGGCAGCAGUGAGGAAUAUUGGACAAUGGAUAGAAAUCUGAUCCAGCCAUGCCGCGUGAAGGACGACGGUCCUAUGGAUUGUAAACUUCUUUUGUAUGGGAGCAAUAAGGUCUACGUGUAGAUCGAUGAGAGUACCAUACGAAUAAGC